UACAGAGGGGGCAAGCGUUGUUCGGAAUUACUGGGCGUAAAGGGCGCGUAGGCGGCCUGCUAAGUCGAACGUGAAAUCCCUGGGCUCAACUCCAGAACUGCCUUCGAUACUGGGAGUCUCGAGUUCGGGAGAGGUGAGUGGAACUGCGAGUGUAGAGGUGAAAUUCGUAGAUAUUCGCAAGAACACCAGUGGCGAAGGCGGCUCACUGGCCCGAUACUGACGCUGAGGUGCGAAAGCGUGGGGAGCAAACAGG
rnacentral:rRNA from 1 species